rnacentral:rRNA from 1 species
AGAGGUCCCGCCUGCCCUGUGACCAAAAGUUUAACGGCCGCGGUAUUUUGACCGUGCAAAGGUAGCGCAAUCACUUGUCUCUUAAAUGGGGACCCGUAUGAAUGGCAUAACGAGGGCUUAACUGUCUCCUUUUUCAGGUCAAUGAAAUUGAUCUCCCCGUGCAGAAGCGGGGAUAAACACAUAAGACGAGAAGACCCUAUGGAGCUUCAGACACCAAGACAGACCAUGUCAAGCACCCCAAAUUAACGGGCCAAACAAAUGAGACCCUGUCCUAAUGUCUUCGGUUGGGGCGACCGCGGGGAAAUACAAAACCCCCAUGUGGAAAGGGAGCACCCCUCCUACAGCCAAGAGCUUCCGCUCUAUUAAACAGAACCUCUGACCUUAAGAUCCGGCAAAGCCGAUCAACGGACCAAGUUACCCUAGGGAUAACAGCGCAAUCCCCUUCUAGAGCCCAUAUCGACAAGGGGGUUUACGACCUCGAUGUUGGAUCAGGACAUCCUAAUGGUGCAGCCGCUAUUAAGGG